CCAAUAGCGUAUAUUAAAGUUGUUGCAGUUAAAAAGCUCGUAGUUGAACUUCGGGGUCUACCCAUUGGUCAGGCUUAAUUGUCUGCACUGGUGAGAUGGAUCUCUACCUUCUGAGGAACUUUCAUGCCAUUUAUUUAGUGUGAUGGGAAAUCAGGACUGUUACUUUGAAAAAAUUAGAGUGUUUAAAGCAGACUAACGUCUGAAUACAUUAGCAUGGAAUAAUGAAAUAGGACGGACUGAUUCUAUUUCGUUGGUUUCUAGGAUCACCGUAAUGAUUAAUAGGGAUAGUUGGGGGCAUUAGUAUUCAAUUGUCAGAGGUGAAAUUCUUGGAUUUAUUGAAGACUAACUACUGCGAAAGCAUUUGCCAAGGAUGUUUUCAUUAAUCAAGAACGAAAGUUAGGGGAUCGAAGACGAUCAGAUACCGUCGUAGUCUUAACCAUAAACUAUGCCGACUAGGGAUCGGACGAAGUUAAUUUUAUAAUGACGCGUUCGGCACCUUACG
rnacentral:rRNA from 1 species